AGAAUGGAAAUCUUAGACUAUUGAAUAGAUUCAAUAGUAUGAAAAAUUAAAUUUGCUGUUCAUUAGUUUGUCAAAUGCUUACAGUCAGACAAUUUGUUAAAAUCAUUGGAAUUCUCUAAUCUUUAAUUCAGGCCAUUUUUAUAGGCCUACUUUACUACAGGACCAUGCAACAUGUAAAUAUACAACAUCUUCUGAGAGGUCUUCAUCUAAUUCCUCU